rnacentral:rRNA from 1 species
UACGGGGGGGGCAAGCGUUGUCCGGAAUUAUUGGGCGUAAAGAGCUCGUAGGCGGUUUGUCGCGUCUGCUGUGAAAACUCAGGGCUUAACCCUGAGCCUGCAGUGGGUACGGGCAGACUAGAGUGUGGUAGGGGAGAUCGGAAUUCCUGGUGUAGCGGUGGAAUGCGCAGAUAUCAGGAGGAACACCGAUGGCGAAGGCAGGUCUCUGGGCAUUAACUGACGCUGAGGAGCGAAAGCAUGGGGGAGCGAACAGG